GUAGGUGAACCUGCGGAAGGAUCAUUACUGAGUUCAUGCCCUCACGGGUAGAUCUCCCACCCUUGAAUAUUAUACCUUCGUUGCUUUGGCAGGCCGUGGAAACACCAUGGGCUCCGGCUGAUGCGUGCCUGCCAGAGGAAACAAAACUCUGUUUUUAGUGAUGUCUGAGUACUAUAUAAUAGUUAAAACUUUCAACAACGGAUCCCUAGGCUCUG
rnacentral:misc_RNA from 1 species